GACAGAGGGUGCAAACGUUGUUCGGAAUUACUGGGCGUAAAGGGCGCGUAGGCGGCUUAUCAAGUCAGGCGUGAAAUUCCCGGGCUCAACCUGGGGGCUGCGCUUGAUACUGAUGAGCUUGAAUGCGGGAGAGGAUAGUGGAAUUCCCAGUGUAGAGGUGAAAUUCGUAGAUAUUGGGAAGAACACCGGUGGCGAAGGCGGCUAUCUGGCCCGUAAUUGACGCUGAGGCGCGAAAGCGUGGGGAGCAAACAGG
rnacentral:rRNA from 1 species